AAAUAUCUAUCGGAAUAUGGAGAGGUUACUGCUAGAGUUUCAUGCCAACCCAACAGCAGAUGGUGGAGAUCAGAGCUAUGGGAUUUCAAAUAUAAAGGUGAGAGUUUGGUGGUUUUGAACUAACUUUUUGGAGAUCCAAACCAAUAGGUAGAGAGAGGAGAGGAAGCGAAAGAGAUUGACAACAUUCGAUCGGUGAAAGAACGACUUUAACGGUGGCGAUGAAAACAACAGCGUUUGGUAGAUUGCCUCCGCUUUGGUGGUUUGUUGGUG
rnacentral:lncRNA from 1 species